rnacentral:rRNA from 1 species
AUUGAACGCUGGCGGCAGGCCUAACACAUGCAAGUCGAACGAGUGGCGGACGGGUGAGUAAUGUCUGGGAAACUGCCCGAUGGAGGGGGAUAACUACUGGAAACGGUAGCUAAUACCGCAUACUAUCGGAUGUGCCCAGAUGGGAUUGGCUAGUAGGGGGGGUAACGGCUCACCUAGGCGACGAUGCCUAGCGGGUCUGAGAGGAUGACCAGCCACACUGGAACUGAGACACGGUCCAGACUCCUACGGGAGGCAGCAGUGGGGAAGAUUGGACAAUGGGCGCAAGCCUGAUGCAGCCAUGCCGCGUGUAUGAAGAAGGCCUUCGGGGUGUAAAGUACUUUAAGCGAGGAGGCGUUACUCGCAGAAGAAGCACCGGCUAACUCCGUGCCAGCAGCCGCGGUAAUAC